AGUGAACGCUGGCGGUAGGCCUAACACAUGCAAGUCGAACGGCAGCACAGUAAGAGCUUGCUCUUACGGGUGGCGAGUGGCGGACGAGUGAGGAAUACAUCGGCAUCUACUUUUUCGUGGGGGAUAACGUAGGGAAACUUACGCUAAUACCGCAUACGACCUACGGGUGAAAGCAGAGGAUCUUCGGACCUUGCGCGAUUGAAUGAGCCGAUGUCGGAUUAGCUAGUUGGCGGGGUAAAGGCCCACCAAGGCGACGAUCCGUAGCUGGUCUGAGAGGAUGAUCAGCCACACUGGAACUGAGACACGGUCCAGACUCCUACGGGAGGCAGCAGUGGGGAAUAUUGGACAAUGGGCGCAAGCCUGAUCCAGCCAUACCGCGUGGGUGAAGAAGGCCUUCGGGUUGUAAAGCGCUUUUGUUGGGAAAGAAAAGCAGCAGGUUAAUACCCCGCUGUGCUGACGGUACCCAAAGAAUAAGCACCGGCUAACUUCGUG
rnacentral:rRNA from 1 species